rnacentral:rRNA from 1 species
AUGGAGAAGCCGCCCAUCCCGAGCAUCAUCUCCACCGUCACCUACUGCUGCGGGGCGUGCGGGUACGACCUGAGGCUGAGCUCGCUGGCGCGGGACACGGCUGGCGGCGCGAGGCGGCGGUGCGUGGGCGCGGCGGAGGUGGUGUUCGACGCCAUCGACGACGCGCGAUUCGGCCACCUAGAGGAGUUCCGGUGGCUGGACGUGCGCGCCUGCCUCCCCUUCUCGCGACGCACGCGCCUGCUCUGCCGCAAGUGCGGCGCCCGCCUCGGCUACGGCUACGACGACACCGCCGCCGCCGAGCGCCCGCCGCGCUACCACAUCAAGAUCCGGGCCCUCCAGCUCGCCCCUGAUCCCUCCCCGGACGCCACGGCACCGUCCGAUCCGUGA